UACGUAGGGGGCUAGCGUUGUCCGGAUUUAUUGGGCGUAAAGAGCGUGUAGGCGGCCAAGUAGGUCCGGUGUGAAAACUCGAGGCUUAACCUCGAGAUGUCAUCGGAAACCAUUUGGCUAGAGUCCGGAAGAGGAAAGUGGAAUUCCUGGUGUAGUGGUGAAAUGCGUAGAUAUCGGGAGGAACACCAGUGGCGAAGGCGACUACCUGGCCUGUUCUUGACGCUGAGGCGCGAAAGCUAGGGGAGCAAACGGG
rnacentral:rRNA from 1 species